AUCGGCAAUACCAAAAAUAUGUUUCAAAAAUUAAAAGAAAACGUUAGGAAAAUGUUAUGAAAAAUGCGUUUGUGACGAAGUGAUAGAAAAAUUCGUAGUGACACGGAAAACUUAUACGUUAAGAAGUAAUAGGAAAAUUCUGUAUGCCACGGAAAAGUGUGUGCCAAGUGCAUUUUCUCAUCAGCUCUAAUUAAGGAUAAAUAACAAGAGAUUAG
rnacentral:lncRNA from 1 species